AAUGGGAAGUACAACGAGUUGCGAAGUCGCGAGGCUAAGCUAAUCUCUUAAAGCUUCUCUCAGUUCGGAUUGCAGGCUGCAACUCGCCUGCAUGAAGCCGGAAUCGCUAGUAAUCGCGGAUCAGCACGCCGCGGUGAAUACGUUCCCGGGCCUUGUACACACCGCCCGUCACACCACGAGAGUUUGUAACACCCGAAGUCGGUGAGGUAACCUUUUUGGAGCCAGCCGCCUA
rnacentral:rRNA from 1 species